UUGAACGCUGGCGGCAGGCCUAACACAUGCAAGUCGAACGGUAACAGGAAGCAGCUUGCUGCUUCGCUGACGAGUGGCGGACGGGUGAGUAAUGUCUGGGAAGCUGCCUGAUGGAGGGGGAUAACUACUGGAAACGGUAGCUAAUACCGCAUAAUGUCGCAAGACCAAAGAGGGGGACCUUCGGGCCUCUUGCCAUCGGAUGUGCCCAGAUGGGAUUAGCUUGUUGGUGGGGUAACGGCUCACCAACGCGACGAUCCCUAGCUGGUCUGAGAGGAUGACCAGCCACACUGGGACUGAGACACGGUCCAGACUCCUACGGGAGGCAGCAGUGGGGAAUAUUGCACAAUGGGCGCAAGCCUGAUGCAGCCAUGCCGCGUGUAUGAAGAAGGCCUUCGGGUUGUAAAGUACUUUCAGCGGGGAGGAAGGGAGUAAAGUUAAUACCUUUGCUCAUUGACGUUACCCGCAGAAGAAGCACCGGCUAACUCCGUG
rnacentral:rRNA from 1 species